rnacentral:rRNA from 1 species
AGGAUGAACGCUGGCGGCGUGCUUAACACAUGCAAGUCGAACGAUGAAGCCGGAGCUUGCUCUGGUGGAUUAGUGGCGAACGGGUGAGUAACACGUGAGUAACCUGCCCUUGACUCUGGGAUAAGCACUGGAAACGGUGUCUAAUACCGGAUACGAGCUUUAGCCGCAUGGCUAGGAGCUGGAAAGAAUUUCGGUCAAGGAUGGACUCGCGGCCUAUCAGGUAGUUGGUGAGUAACGGCCCACCAAGCCUACGACGGGUAGCCGGCCUGAGAGGGUGACCGGCCACACGUGGACUGAGGACACGGCCAGACUCCGUACGGGAGGCAGCAGGUAGGGAAUAUUGACACGAAUGGGACGCGAAGCCUCGAGUGCAAGACAACCGCCGCGGUGGAACGGGACGGACCGGCCGUUACGGGUUCGUAAACCGUUCCGUUUAAGUAAGGAAGGUAAGACG